GUGCUUGCUUUGGCAGCACAUAUACUAAAAUUCAAACAACAGAGAGAUUAGCAUUGCCCCUGUGCAACGAAGACAUGUAAAUUCAUGAAGCAUUCUAAAUUUUU
ensembl:snRNA U6 U6 spliceosomal RNA